rnacentral:rRNA from 1 species
UACGGGGGGGGGCGAGCGUUGUUCGGAAUUACUGGGCGUAAAGCGCGUGUAGGUGGCGGUAUAAGUCGAAUGUGAAAUCCCUCAGCUCAACUGAGGAAGUGCAUCCGAUACUGUAUCGCUUGAGUACCGGAGGGGAUGGCGGAAUUCCUGGUGUAGAGGUGAAAUUCGUAGAUAUCAGGAGGAACACCUGUGGCGAAGGCGGCUCACUGGCCCGAUACUGACGCUGAUGCACGAAAGCGUGGGGAGCAAACAGG